GACGAACGCUGGCGGCGUGCUUAACACAUGCAAGUCGAACGGAAAGGCCCUGCUUUUGUGGGGUGCUCGAGUGGCGAACGGGUGAGUAACACGUGAGUAACCUGCCCUUGCCUUUGGGAUAACUUCAGGAAACUGGGGCUAAUAACGGAUAGGAGCUCCUGCUGCUUGGUGGGGGUUGGAAAGUUUCGGCGGUUGGGGAUGGACUCGCGGCUUAUCAGCUUGUUGGUGGGGUAGUGGCUUACCAAGGCUUUGACGGGUGGCCGGCCUGAGAGGGUGACCGGCCACAUUGGGACAGAGAUACGGCCCAGACUCCUACGGGAGGCAGCAGUGGGGAAUAUUGCACAAUGGGCGGAAGCCGGAUGCAGCAACGCCGCGUGCGGGAUGACGGCCUUCGGGUUGUAAACCGCUUGAGCCUGUGACGAAGCGUGAGUGACGGUAAUGGGUAAAGAAGCACCGGCUAACUACGUG
rnacentral:rRNA from 1 species